rnacentral:tRNA from 1 species
GCCAUCCUAGCUCAGCUGAUAGAGCAUUCGAUUCGUAAUCGAAAGGUCGUGGGUUUGAAUCCCAUGGAUGGCUCCA